rnacentral:rRNA from 1 species
ACGUAGGUGGCAAGCGUUAUCCGGAUUUAUUGGGCGUAAAGCGAGCGCAGGCGGUUUUUUAAGUCUGAUGUGAAAGCCCUCGGCUUAACCGAGGAAGCGCAUCGGAAACUGGGAAACUUGAGUGCAGAAGAGGACAGUGGAACUCCAUGUGUAGCGGUGAAAUGCGUAGAUAUAUGGAAGAACACCAGUGGCGAAGGCGGCUGUCUGGUCUGUAACUGACGCUGAGACUCGAAAGCAUGGGUAGCGAACAG